rnacentral:misc_RNA from 1 species
UUAAGUUCAGCGGGUAAUCCUACUCGAUUUGAGGUCAAGUUAUCAGAUAUUGUCCGAAGACGGUUUGAAGCACAGCGCUCCUAAUCAGACAGAAAACAGCGAGGGUUUAGUUAUAACGCCGUACUAUGUUUAACUAGGAGUCGUACUAACUCAUUUAAGAUGAGCCUGACAGCAAGUACCAGGCAACAUCCAAGUCCACC